CCCGAGUCGGGUUGAGUCAACAAAUCGAAAACGUCAUUAAUCACAUAAUCGUCAGUGAGAUGUCACGUGACUACGCUCGACGCUGGUUCAGCGUCCAAUGAAUUUGCGUCUUUACGUAUGCAAUACAUACUUAUCAAGGUUCAUUUUUCGAUACAGUACAUAAGGCAAAGUUAUCAGUCUAAUAAUGCAUAGAAGUCUAUGAUUGCAGAAGUACGUGGAAAAGAAAUUCUGGGAUCAAAUUUUAUAGGCAAG